ensembl:lncRNA novel transcript
UUGUUUCUCUAUCCAUCUCCUACACACAGCCAGGCCACACAGGUAUGGACUAACAACACUCUAUGUGGCCUAAAAACCAACCAAAUCAAGUUUCUAUCAAGGCAGAAGAGGCAGGACAGCCAAGGAAUUGAGCAUAAAGGACACUCUACUGUGAGAGCUAGCCUUGAUUUGACAUGUGUCAGGAAACAUACGACCUCAAACAAUCUUCAUACACAAUGAAGAGAUAUAAGAAGAUUUGGUAAUCCAGGAAGUCUCGAAAGUUCUUCAGAAAUGUUUAACCUAUUUCAAAAAUUUUCAUUACUCUGCGCACACUAUUCCUCAUUACAGAAAGUGCUCAAUAAACUUCUGUAUGCUCCUA